rnacentral:rRNA from 1 species
AUUGAACGCUGGCGGCAUGCCUUACACAUGCAAGUCGAACGGCAGCACGGGUGCUUGCACCUGGUGGCGAGUGGCGAACGGGUGAGUAAUACAUCGGAACAUGUCCUGUAGUGGGGGAUAGCCCGGCGAAAGCCGGAUUAAUACCGCAUACGAUCUACGGAUGAAAGCGGGGGACCUUCGGGCCUCGCGCUAUAGGGUUGGCCGAUGGCGGAUUAGCUAGUUGGUGGGGUAAAGGCCUACCAAGGCGACGAUCAGUAGCUGGUCUGAGAGGACGACCAGCGACACUGGGACUGAGACACGGCCCAGACUCCUACGGGAGGCAGCAGUGGGGAAUUUUGGACAAUGGGCGAAAGCCUGAUCCAGCAAUGCCGCGUGUGUGAAGAAGGCCUUCGGGUUGUAAAGCACUUUUGUCCGGAAAGAAAUCCUUGGCCCUAAUACGGUCGGGGGAUGACGGUACCGGAAGAAUAAGCACCGGCUAACUACGUG